AGGAAUAUUGGUCAAUGGGCGCUAGCCUGAACCAGCCAUGCCGCGUGCAGGAAGACGGCCCUACUGGUUGUAAACUGCUUUUCUGCCGGAAGAAAGUGGCGCACGUGUGCGCCAUUGACGGUACGACAGGAAUAAGCAUCGGCUAACUCCGUGCCAGCAGCCGCGGUAAUACGGAGGAUGCAAGCGUUAUCCGGAUUCAUUGGGUCUAAAGGGUGCGUAGGCGGUGGGAUAAGUCAGUGGUGAAAGCCCGGGGCUCAACUCCGGGAUUGCCAUUGAAACUGUUUCACUUGAGUAUAGUCGAGGACGGCGGAAUGAGUUAUGUAGCGGUGAAAUGCAUAGAUAUAACUCAGAACACCGAUUGCGGAGGCAGUUGUCUAGGCUAUAACUGACGCUGAGGCACGAAAGCGUGGGGAGCGAACAGGAUUAGAUACCCUGGUAGUCCACGCUGUAAACGAUGAUCACUCGUUGUUGGUUACCUAGUAAUCAGUGACUGAGGGAAACCAUUAAGUGAUCCACCUGAGGAAUACGUCGGCAACGAUG
rnacentral:rRNA from 1 species